rnacentral:rRNA from 1 species
CAAGGAUUCCURUAGUAGCGGCGAGCGAAGAAGGAACAGCCCCGAGUGUAAUCACCUAUAAUUAAUAUAGAGUGAGAUGUCAUWAAUCUAUAGAACGAUGUUGAAACUUCGGCCUGAGAGGGUGAUAGCCCCGUAAAAUAGAUGUAACAMGGGAGUAGCAGUGUUUGGUAUUGCACUGUGAAAGGGUGGCAGCGCCCAUCCAAGGCUAAAUACAAAGCGAGACCGAUAGUGAAUAAGUAGAGCGAUCGAAAAACGAAUAGACUG